rnacentral:rRNA from 1 species
UAGUGGAGUGAUCUGUCUGGUUAAUUCCGAUAACGAACGAGAUCCCGGCCAUUUAAAUAGUGUUUAUUACUUUUGUAGUAAUACACUUCUUAGAGGAACUAUGUGGAAAACUACCCCAAGGAAGUGGGGCUAUAACA